rnacentral:rRNA from 1 species
AGUGAACGCUGGCGGUAGGCCUAACACAUGCAAGUCGAACGGCAGCACAGUAAGAGCUUGCUCUUACGGGUGGCGAGUGGCGGACGGGUGAGGAAUACAUCGGAAUCUACUUUUUCGUGGGGGAUAACGUAGGGAAACUUACGCUAAUACCGCAUACGACCUACGGGUGAAAGCAGGGGAUCUUCGGACCUUGCGCGAUUGAAUGAGCCGAUGUCGGAUUAGCUAGUUGGCGGGGUAAAGGCCCACCAAGGCGACGAACCGUAGCUGGUCUGAGAGGAUGAUCAGCCACACUGGAGCUGAGACACGGUCCAGACUCCUACGGGAGGCAGCAGUGGGGAAUAUUGGACAAUGGGCGCAAGCCUGAUCCAGCCAUACCGCGUGGGUGAAGAAGGCCUUCGGGUUGUAAAGCCCUUUUGUUGGGAAAGAAAAGCAGCAGGUUAAUACCCCGCUGUUCUGACGGUACCCAAAGAAUAAGCACCGGCUAACUUCGUG